GUUGAAGCCUAACCUGAUGGGGCUUUUUCUGUAAACCAACAUUGUUGGAAAUGCCUCCGAGUAACUGCGUAUUUUCCUUUACUCAUAGAACUACCUGUUAGAUCUGUGGGAAAGAACUACAAGACAGAG
ensembl:snoRNA